AGUGAACGCUGGCGGUAGACCUAACACAUGCAAGUCGAACGGCAGCACAGUAAGAGCUUGCUCUUACGGGUGGCGAGUGGCGGACGGGUGAGGAAUACAUCGGCAUCUACUUUUUCGUGGGGGAUAACGUAGGGAAACUUACGCUAAUACCGCAUACGACCUACGGGUGAAAGCAGGGGAUCUUCGGACCUUGCGCGAUUGAAUGAGCCGAUGUCGGAUUAGCUAGUUGGCGGGGUAAAGGCCCACCAAGGCGACGAUCCGUAGCUGGUCUGAGAGGAUGAUCAGCCACACUGGAACUGAGACACGGUCCAGACUCCUACGGGAGGCAGCAGUGGGGAAUAUUGGACAAUGGGCGCAAGCCUGAUCCAGCCAUACCGCGUGGGUGAAGAAGGCCUUCGGGUUGUAAAGCCCUUUUGUUGGGAAAGAAAAGCAGCAGGUUAAUACCCCGCUGUUCUGACGGUACCCAAAGAAUAAGCACCGGCUAACUUCGUG
rnacentral:rRNA from 1 species